ensembl:lncRNA
UUUUCUUUCGUCUCAAAUGCCAGACUGCCCUUCUUUGUGUUUAACUGUCCACAGGAUGGAGACCCUCUGUGAUGACGAACCUGCUCUGAAAGUACCUCUCAUCGCCGGCCCUCCCAAGACGACACCAGCUAUUCAUCUCUCCACCUCAUAGGAUUCACAGCCCCCGACCUGAUGACCCUGACCACACAAAGCCAAACUAAUGAAACAAAUCCCAAGAGGUUCUGCAACAUAUUACCUAAAUACCCACCUCUUUAUAACAGGGCAUAUGCCUAAUUCUUUGACUUCACUGAUUAAUGAGCCUCUUGUGCAACUGAAGUUGUUAAUUGGUUCCAUAUAUUGUAAAUGUAUUAAAAUUAAAAAAGCUUUUCAUGAUGUGAGCAAACCUAAAUAAAAUGUAACACUGGCAUUUGCUGUUCUGUGGCUCCCUCUAAUGUUCUACAUACAAAAUGCAACUAUCUUUCACAGUUUAUUUUGCAUGCGUUAUGUUUAUUAUUUACACUGCCGUUCAAAAGUU